rnacentral:tRNA from 1 species
GGCCCGUUAGCUCAACUGGUAGAGCAGCGGACUCUUAAUCCGCAGGUUGAAGGUUCGAGUCCUUCACGGGUCA